rnacentral:rRNA from 1 species
UACGUAGGGACCAAGCGUUGUUCGGAUUUACUGGGCGUAAAGGGCGCGUAGGCGGCUUGUCAAGUCACUUGUGAAAUCUCUGGGCUUAACCCAGAACGGCCAAGUGAAACUGACAUGCUAGAGUGCAGAAGGGGCAAUCGGAAUUCUUGGUGUAGCGGUGAAAUGCGUAGAUAUCAAGAGGAACACCUGAGGUGGAGACGGGUUGCUGGGCUGACACUGACGCUGAGGCGCGAAAGCCAGGGGAGCAAACGGG